CUUCCCUAUGGGCGGUUUAAAUGCGCGCGCGCCUCUUGCCGCGCAUGUGCAUUCGGAGCUGAGAGGCGGACACUGGGGAGUCCGACGCUGGAGAAAGGUAAAUGCUGAAGACACACACUCUCACGAACAGACGCAUACACACUAGCUAACAGACACACACAUUUACUGACAGACACACUCAGCGACAGACAUAUAUACACACUCACUUACAAAACAUACACUUUCACUGACAAACACACACAGUAACACACUCACUAGCAGACACACUCACUGACACACACACAGACACACUCACUAACACACACUCACUAACACACACACAAUAACACACACUCACACACACAAACACACACAUACACUAACAUACACACUAACACACACAUACACUAACAUACACACGGACACACACUGACACACACACCCACACUAACACACACAAACACACUAACACACACAUACACUAACACACACAAACACUAACACACACAUACACUAACACACAAACACACACUUUUUUUUAAAUAUAAUCCCCCCAGCCUCCUUACCUUUUGGAGUGCUGGGGGGAUUCCCUGGGGUCCAGUGGUGCUGCAGGGCUCCUGGUC